rnacentral:lncRNA from 1 species
AUGGUUCUGUGCUAUGUACCGGAUUGUAACCACUACUCAAAAGCACACACACAUUUUGUUUUCCGACCCCGAGAGACGUCGCUGGAGCAGUGUGAUAAGGCCAACAGGAGUGUACCCCUCAGAUCAUCUGGUGCAUGGACAUCCUGUGCCAGUGGUAUGAUAUCCUGUGCCAGUGUGAUCCGAGCGCAACCGUCCAGUUGUAGACUACAGCAGAUCGAGCCUGUGGACGGAGAGUCCAACAGGAGUGUAUCCUUCAGACCAUCCGGCGCAUAG